rnacentral:lncRNA from 1 species
AGGCGAGCCUACAUUCCGCCGAAUGGAUAUGUUCAUCAAUUUCACCGACCCCCUGGUGGCAAAGAGGUUUGAUGUGAAAUCAUGCACAUGGGCAUUCGGGAUGAAUAUAUUUGAUCUGCAGGAAUGGAGGAAACGAAACCUAACUGCAGUCUAUCACAAGUACUUGGAGCUGGUAUAGAUCUAUAUCCUGUUGUUUGUUAAGUACCUGUGGAAUUGACUGAUGAUAAUUGAUGAGUCAUCGGGUAAUUCUACAAGCACGAAACCUAACUGCGCUCUAUCACAAGUACUUGGAGCUGGUAUAGAUCUAUAUCCUGUUGUUUGUUGAGUACUUGUGGAAUUGACUAAUGAUAAUUGAUGAGUCAUCGGGUAAUUCUACAAGCAUGGUCUAUAUAUUCAAAUAAAUAUAUGUUGCAGAGAAACCAUGAGUUAGGUUUCCAUAUAUUAUUAUCCUUUUUUUUGGGUAAAGUAGGGAACCCGCUGCCACUACCCUUCGGGUGCGCCCUUGGUAAACCCCACUCAAGUGCAAUAGCUCAUAAACCACACUGGAGAGGUAAACAACACCAGGCAUGCCCCGUGCAAUGAGCUCGACCAAAAAAGCAUGCAGGGAGUUUCAAACCUGUGACCUCCCAUUUGGGGGAUCUCCUGAUAAUAUGUGUAUAUAUAUGUAUAUAUGCUAGCUUAUUUUUAGUUGUUUUGGUAUAUGCUCU